rnacentral:rRNA from 1 species
GUGCCAGCAGCCGCGGUAAUACGUAGGGUGCGAGCGUUGUCCGGAAUUAUUGGGCGUAAAGAGCUCGUAGGCGGUGUGUCGCGUCGGCCGUGAAAACCUGGGGCUCAACUCUGGGCGUGCGGUCGAUACGGGCAUCACUUGAGUUCGGCAGGGGAGACUGGAAUUCCUGGUGUAGCGGUGAAAUGCGCAGAUAUCAGGAGGAACACCGGUGGCGAAGGCGGGUCUCUGGGCCGAUACUGACGCUGAGGAGCGAAAGCAUGGGUAGCGAACAGGAUUAGAUACCCUGGUAGUCC